rnacentral:rRNA from 1 species
CAGCAUGGGGGAAUAUUGCACAAUGGGGGAAACCCUGAUGCAGCCAUGCCGCGUGUGUGAAGAAAGGCCUUCGGGUUGUAAAGGCACUUUCAGUAGGGAGGAAGGUAGUGUAGUUAACACCUGCAUUAUUUGACGUUACCUACAGAAGAAGCACCGGCUAACUCCGUGCCAGCAGCCGCGGUAAUACGGAGGGUGCGAGCGUUAAUCGGAAUUACUGGGCGUAAAGCGCAUGCAGGCGGCCUGUUAAGUCAGAUGUGAAAGCCCGGGGCUUAACCUCGGAAUUGCAUUUGAAACUGGCAGGCUAGAGUCUUGUAGAGGGGGUAGAAUUUCAGGUGUAGCGGUGAAAUGCGUAGAGAUCUGAAGGAAUACCGGUGGCGAAGGCGGCCCCCUGGACAGAUACUGACACUCAGAUGCGAAAGCGUGGGUAGCGAACAGGAUUAGAUACCCUGGUAG